AAAAAAAUAACAAUUUUUGAAUGAAAUGAAAAUAAAUAAAAGAAAAAGAAAUAGAAGUAAUACGAAGUAAGGAUCCUUUCAGGAAGUGAUUGGUCUGCCCGGAAAAGGGGGUUAAACUCCAGUUCUUCCACUUUCAUUGAUUCACUCCUUCUUCAGAUGAGAUAGAAGUAUCUCUAUCUCACAACAAGCUAGGAAAUUAACAAACGCCCCAUUUUGAAAUCUGGGGAGGGGGAUCAAGAUCAAGAAGUUAUCGAAAUUUUUUCUUUAAGAAUUUAUUUGAUUCAGGG
rnacentral:lncRNA from 1 species